AUGGAUCCGGCCGCCGCCGCCGCCCGGCGGCAGGCGGACAAGUGGAUGAGCGUGGCCGAGAAGCUCCUCAUGGCGAAGGACCUCGAGGGCUGCAAGGAGUUCUCCUCCCAGGCCAUCGCCGCCGACCCCCGUACCCCGGGCGCCGAGGAUCUCUACGCCGCCGCCGACGUCCUCCUCGCGUCCCAGCGCCGCCGCUUACCCAGCGGCCAGCCCGAUCCGUACGCCGUUCUCGGCCUCGACUCUGCCAAGCCCGCAUCGCGCCUCCCGGACGUCGUCCAUUCCAAGUUCCGCCGGCUCUCCCUCCUCCUCAACCGGUCCCACCCCGACCGCCCCUGCUCGGUGUACGUCGCCGAGGCUGCCCGCCUCGUCGCCGAUGCCUGGGCCUUCCUCUCCAACGCCGGACUUAAGUCUGCCCUCGACGCCGAACUCCAUGCAGCCGCUGCACCUCGCGCUUCCCACCCUCCCGCGCCGUUGCAACAGCCGGCGGUGGAGAGGAGGCCGCAGCCGUCGCCGCCUCCACAGCAGAGCCCCGGAUGGGCAGCUCCCCAGCCACGGCCACCUCCACAGCGGAUCCCGGUACGGCCAGCUCCCCAGCCAACGCCGCCUCCACAGCCGAGUUCGCUGCGAGCAGCUACCCAGACACCGCCGCCUCCGCAGCCGAGUUCGCUGCGAGCAGCUACCCAGACGCCGCCGCCUCCACAGCCGAGCCCGCUGCAAGCAGCUACCCAGCCACAGCCGUCUCCACAGCCAAGCCGGCUGCAAGCAGCUACCAGGCCACCGCCAAGUCCGUCGCAAGCAGCUACCAAGCCACCGCCGUCUCCACAGCCAAGUCCGCUGCAACCUGCUACCCAGCCACCGCCGCCUCCACAACCGAGUCCGCUGCAAGCAGCUUCCCAGCCACCCGCCAGAGCAGCGACUCCGCCUGUGGAGUCUGGCACAUUGCCUCCGUCGACGUUCUGGACAUUGUGCAAGGGGUGCUCCCAUAUUCACCAGUAUGAUCGCCUCUACGAGGCGCGCAAACUGAAGUGCUCCAGCUGCCACCAGCCAUUUUUAGCCGAGGCAAUGGCCGAGCCGCCGCCCAUUGUGCCGGGCACUGACAUGUAUUACUGUACCUGGGGCUUCUUCCCCAUUGGGUUCCCCGGGUGCCCUGGCUACGCGGAUCUGGUCAAUUCCCAGCCACAGGGGUCAGGCCAGCUGAAUGUGCCAUGGCUUGGAGCCAAUGGUAGGGUUGCUGCUGAGAAUGGGACUCCCAUUACCAUAGGUGCUGCAAGGGAGGGGCCAGUGGCAUCUGAACCUUCGCCGGAACCUUUGAUGCGCACGGGAGUGGAGGUGCCACUGGUACCGGAACCUGCGCCAGAACCUUUAAUGCGCAUGAGAGUGGGGGUGCCAGCCGUGCCGGAACCUGUGAUGCCCACAAGAGUGGAGGCUCCAGCCGCGCCGGAACCUGUGAUGCCCACGAGAGUGGAGGUGCCUGCCGCGCCGGAACCUGUACAGCCCACGAGAGUGAAGUCAGUGAAAGUGGGAGCAAAGAAGCGUGGUCGACCCAAAGGCAGCAAGAACAAGAAGAGUUUGCGAGUUGUGACUUGA
rnacentral:rRNA from 1 species